rnacentral:lncRNA from 12 species
GUUUACUACUCAUCAGCUCUAGUUAUGCUCCACACUGCCUUCACCCCAGGACUCAGGGUGAAGGAGCAUUGUUUCCUUACUCUCCUGAUGCUGCUCAUCUUGUAACGAAGAAGUCAGUGAUGGGCCACUGCUUCCUAUCUCAAAUCUCUAAAUAUCACACAUAUACUGCUGUGAAGGUCCAAAGGUAAGAAGCCACCCAGCCAAGUAGUUGUUUAUAAGUAAGCCAGGGGUUAGAGAAGAAUUCAAGAAUUCUUGGAGAAGUUGGUGCAAGUAACCAGAAAUCUAAGAACCAAGCCAAGAUAAGCUAAGAAGAUGUCACAUCAUGAGCACAGCUGUCAUUAAAUAUUGCCUUGUUUACAAAAGCAAAACUCUUUGCUAGAAACUGAAGACCAGGAUCCAGGAGGAAAUAUCUCAUGGGCAGAUUGAGACUGUUUGCUACCAGUGGAAACCAUAAAAUCAAAGACUAUUCUAAAGAAUGUUCUGAAACGCAGUAGAGAGGAAGCUGUAUAUCACAGAGCUAAAUAAUCUGAGAGCAGA